GACGAACGCUGGCGGCGUGCCUAAUACAUGCAAGUCGAGCGGGCCUCCGGAGGUGCUUGCACCUCCGGAAGGCCAGCGGCGGACGGGUGAGUAACACGUGGGCAACCUGCCUUUGAGGCCGGGAUAACACCGGGAAACCGGUGCUAAUACCGGAUACGUCCUCUUUCGCGCCUGCGCGAGGGGAGAAAGACGGUCUUUAAGGCCGUCGCUCAAAGAGGGGCCCGCGGCGCAUUAGCGGGUUGGUGGGGUAAGGGCCUACCAAGGCGACGAUGCGUUGCCGACCUGAGAGGGUGAUCGGCCACACUGGGACUGAGACACGGCCCAGACUCCUGCGGGAGGCAGCAGUAGGGAAUCAUCCGCAAUGGGCGAAAGCCUGACGGUGCAACGCCGCGUGAGUGAGGAAGGUUUUCGGAUCGUAAAGCUCUGUUGUGAGGGAAGAACAGCUUCCGGAGGAAAUGCCGGAGGUUUGCCGGUACCUCACCAGAAAGCCCCGGCUAACUACGUGCCAGCCGCCGCUGUAA
rnacentral:rRNA from 1 species